rnacentral:rRNA from 1 species
GACGAACGCUGGCGGCGUGCCUAAUACAUGCAAGUCGAGCGAGCUUGCCUAGAUGAAUUUGGUGCUUGCACCAAAUGAAACUAGAUACAAGCGAGCGGCGGACGGGUGAGUAACACGUGGGUAACCUGCCCAAGAGACUGGGAUAACACCUGGAAACAGAUGCUAAUACCGGAUAACAACACUAGACGCAUGUCUAGAGUUUAAAAGAUGGUUCUGCUAUCACUCUUGGAUGGACCUGCGGUGCAUUAGCUAGUUGGUAAGGUAACGGCUUACCAAGGCAAUGAUGCAUAGCCGAGUUGAGAGACUGAUCGGCCACAUUGGGACUGAGACACGGCCCAAACUCCUACGGGAGGCAGCAGUAGGGAAUCUUCCACAAUGGACGCAAGUCUGAUGGAGCAACGCCGCGUGAGUGAAGAAGGGUUUCGGCUCGUAAAGCUCUGUAGGUAGUGAAGAAAGAUAGAGGUAGUAACUGGCCUUUAUUUGACGGUAAUUACUUAGAAAGUCACGGCUAACUACGUGCCAGCAGCCGCGGUAAUACGUAGGUGGCAAGCGUUGUCCGGAUUUAUUGGGCGUAAAGCGAGUGCAGGCGGUUCAAUAAGUCUGAUGUGAAAGCCUUCGGCUCAACCGGAGAAUUGCAUCAGAAACUGUUGAACUUGAGUGCAGAAGAGGAGAGUGGAACUCCAUGUGUAGCGGUGGAAUGCGUAGAUAUAUGGAAGAACACCAGUGGCGAAGGCGGCUCUCUGGUCUGCAACUGACGCUGAGGCUCGAAAGCAUGGGUAGCGAACAGG